rnacentral:misc_RNA from 1 species
AAGUCGUAACAAGGUUUCCGUAGGCGAACCUGCGGAAGGAUCAUUAUUGAAUAUGCUCGAUGGGUUGUCGCUGGCUCUUUGGGGCAUGUGCACACCUGUCUUGACUCUAUUCAUCCACCUGUGCACCUAUUGUAGUCUUCUUGAGGGCUGUAAAAGCAGCUGUUGGUCGAAAGGAUCAGUUUGUGAGGCUUGCCGGGUUACCGCACUGUGUAAUGAGGCUCCCCUCUUGGUUACUGAAACUCCCUCAAGAGACUAUGUUUUUAUCCAUACACCAUGUAGUCUGUUGUAACAAAUGCAUUCAAUGGGCCUCUGUGCCUAUAUAAAACCAUAUACAACUUUCAGCAACGGAUCUCUUGGCUCUC